CCUACGGGGGGCAGCAGUGGGGAAUCUUGCACAAUGGGCGAAAGCCUGAUGCAGCGACGCCGCGUGCGGGAUGAAGGCCUUCGGGUUGUAAACCGCUUUCAGCAGGGACGAGGCGAAAGUGACGGUACCUGCAGAAGAAGCCCCGGCUAACUACGUGCCAGCAGCCGCGGUAAUACGUAGGGGGCAAGCGUUAUCCGGAUUCAUUGGGCGUAAAGCGCUCGUAGGCGGCCUGUUAGGUCGGGAGUUAAAUCCGGGGGCUCAACCCCCGUCCGCUCCCGAUACCGGCGGGCUUGAGUCUGGUAGGGGAAGGCGGAAUUCCCAGUGUAGCGGUGGAAUGCGCAGAUAUUGGGAAGAACACCGGUGGCGAAGGCGGCCUUCUGGGCCACGACUGACGCUGAGGCGCGAAAGCUAGGGGAGCGAACAGGAUUAGAUACCCGGGUAGUC
rnacentral:rRNA from 1 species